ACCAGAUGAUGUGGGCAUUUACGAAGUAGGUCCUUAAAGCGCUCCCAUGUCUCAAAAAAGAGUUCUCCAUCCGUCUGUGAGAAACUUGUGAUGGCUUUCUAUAGCU